CUGCCUGAGAGCGAGGGGAUGGAUUUAGAUAAUCUCUCAAGGUCCCUUCCAGACUUAUAUUUCUAGGCUAGAUGUAAUGUCACUUUACUACAUACUGCUUCUAAAAAUAUUAAUUGUAUUGCCAAAUAUAUGUACCGCCUGAGUGUUUCCAUAGUGUGUUUUAUGCAGAAAUAGUUGAACAUGUGAAAUAUUGUACAACCAUCCAUUAAUUUUGCUAUUGACAAUGAUUUUGGGGGUAGAACUACUAGUUAGAAUAUGUUGGGAUGGCAAACCUCUAGAGGUUUUCCAUAUUCCUAUGCCCUACCAGUUGGGUUUGAAUGGGAGAAUUCCUAGAGGGCCAUUGUAUUGAACUGGUAGACAUGUAUGCUAUUCUUCUGUAGUUGUUAGUGAGCCGGAUAGAUGGAAACUUGACCUCUUUUUGAGGUAAACAUACGAAUCUAAUCUGUAGAGAACAUGGGCAGGGGAGGAAGGGAGGCAGAGAAUGUUUCAGAUAUAAUCAGUAUCAAGGAAGCAAAACAAUGCGUUUCCCAAGUACCUUAUAUGGCUACAGCCAGCCUUAGUUACCUCUUGGCAGUUUUUGUUUCCUUUGUGUUGGUGCUACAGUAACCCCUCUCCAUUUACUGUUGGCAUGUAGAGGAGAUCUCCAAGAAUGAACUCCUUGACCUUCCCAGGUGCCACUCGUUUGGAGUUCAUAAGACUGUUUCUUUUCAUAGCUGGCUGCAGAAUUUCUAGUUUGCCAAGUCAGAGAAACCUGAGGUAUGGUUCAGGUCCAGCUUGCAGCAGAAUACACAGCACUGUGGUCAUGUUUCAUUGUCCCUGAGAGACCAUAGCUUCCCAUCACCACUUUAGAAAGAGCUCACCUGCCAAUGCUUUCUGACUGGAGAUGGCGGCAGGAAGCCACAAUUGCUCAGUAAAUUGAUCUCUCCACAUUUCACAACUCUGACAAUGCAAGGCUAUUUGGAUAGAAAGAAGCUGCAGUAACUGCAAGCAACCACAAAAUACUAAAAGGGACCUUUCCCAGUUAUUUACAAUACUCAGAGUAAGAGCAAAACAAGAGUGGUUUUUUUUUUUAAACAAGUGCUUUUUAACUCUAACAUAAACACAGAAGAAUAGUAGUUUGGGAGCAGGUGCCCUAAUUUGCUCUAAAACAAAAUCCCCACGCUGCAGAUUCAAAAAUUCACCCCUCCCUGGGGUUUGGUUUUGUAAAAGAAAUUAACAAUAACAUAAAAGCACAACCAGAAUCUCCACACAGUCUAUCUUGAACCUUUUCUUCAGCAUGGUGGCUCCUACAGUGCCUACCUCAGAACUGCUCAGCCCAGAACCUAGAUCCCUUCUGUCUCUAGAAAACAGCGCCCACUUCCUUUGCAGUAUAAAACCUUCCGCUCUGCUAUGAAAAUAUCUGACUUGGCAACAACCGCUGAAUUAGACACUUAGGAUCAGGAUCUUCAUGAAACUUCCUUUUACAGUAGGAUUAUUUGAAGCAAAACCAAGGCUUACAUCAACAAUCCUAUUGAAGACUAAAGCCUGAUCCUACAAGUAGCUCUAUGCAACUGUCUAUUGACCCACUGAUUUCAGAGGGGCUUGGUUCAAAGUUCACUUAAGAGCCUGAUUCUGAUCUUACAGUAACUCCACUGACAUCAAUGGAAUUGCCGUGAGAUCAGAAUCAGGCCCUCAUACCUCAAAGUCAUUGAUGUUAAUGGAGUUACACUUGUAUAAAACCAGAUCUAUAUUUUAAAGAGAGACUGUGAUGGGACAGGGAGGGGGAACUAGGCCUCAGUAGCCCCCUACUGAUGACUCCACUGCUCUGCUGCACUCUUCAGGAAACUUAUCUGUGAAGAAAAGAGCAGCCAUUUUGAACAUCAGCAAGAUCUAGUCCUCCAGCAGCCAGAAAGCAGGGGACCAACAACAGCCAGUCAAGGCCCAUCAAGCCCAAAUAAAAGGAGCUGCUUGCUGUCAGCAAGCAAGUCAGUUCUGAGCUGGAGCUGUAAGAGUGAGGGGGGGAUUCUUCUUAGGUUGCAGCCAGAGGAACCAGGCUGGGCCAGGGCUAUUACUGACAGUGGCAAUGGUUAAGAAAGAACCCUUCUGAUUCAAUUGGAGAGAUGGAAUUUAACCCAAAUAGUGUAAGAUGCUAUUUUGUUUAUAAUUGGUCCUGAAGUGCAAGGAACUGUUUCUAUCAUUUGAGUUAGUUAUACACCAGAAAAGGCUUUGGAAUGUGUGACCCAGCCAGAAGGCCAAGCCCCAGAAGACCCAUGGAGGUAGGUUGAUAGCCUGCAGGGGGUGAUGGUAGCCCAAGAGAGAGGCAAAACUGUAACUGGAUGACAAGUAAUCCUCAAGAGGUGAGUACAGCCCACCACAGAGGCCAUAAAAUACUUCGGGGAAAAAAUUCAAAAUUAGGCACCUACAUAAAAGUGGCUUGAUUUCUUCCCCCCAACACACUGAACUCCUCUAAACUUCCAUCUCUAGGUUUCUCUCAUGGCAUUGUUCUAGCAAGUAGCUUAUAGUAUCAAUAAUUAUACAUGUAUUUAAUUAAAGAUAGUAAAUAAAAAUUCAUGGAUAUUUGAGUAUACUCAGUUUUUUCAGCUAGUAGGCUAGAUUCCAUGGUCCAUUCUGGCUGCCUUUUACCACUCCAGAGCACCCAGACACCCAGUUCAACUGGCCAAUUAAACCAGGUUUACAGCUGCUUUGCAUGGCUGGAGUGCCACAAAGGACUUCAGUAAACCUGGCCCAACCGUUAUAUAUUUACAGGAAAAUGUAAAAUUCAGGAGCACAAGCAAUAUAAGCGCAGAACUUGAUAUACCUUAAAUUUUAUGUAAUCUAGUAGAAAAAGUUAUGAGAUUAUUGAAAAGAAAUAAUCUACACUUCCUGUUCUAAUUGCACCACGGAAGACAAACAGCAGAGAAUGUGAAAGUUUUCUAAAACCAAUCCUAGAAUUGUGCUGAAUUCAGUAGGGGCAAGAUAGUGAAGCCAUAUUGGCUUGUACUCUACAACAAACUUCUCAAUCCUGACUUUGGCUUGCCCUUUGGGUUGGUGUUCUCGAUCCUGUCUCCAGUUCUGACCUUUUGUCUUAGCUCCUCCACUCUGACUCCAGCUCACCCUUGGACCUGUAUCUGACUCCUGAAUUUACACUCACCAUUAUUUCAAACUGCUGCCACAACUACCAGGCAAGGACCUGGCCCACCUACUGGGUACACCAACCAUGCCCUGGCAACCUGCAGUUUGAGCAACCCCAAAAGACCAGAUGUAGGGAAGGCAUAGGCCUAAUGACAUGGAGGUCCCUCCUGAAAUGACCUCGGCAGGAGCCCUGCUCAACCUUGUGGAGUUACUUGGAGCUUUACAGGAAAUGCAGGCCCAGGUUGUUGCACUUUGAGAUCAGAAUGCAGUCCUGCAGGCCCAGCUGCAAGCCCAUGAAGUGCAGGCACAGGAUGCCACAGUACAAGACUGGAAUGCUACCCUCAAGAUCCAGGUGCAAGCCCAGGCAGAGGCUACAGUCCUCUGACCCUCACACCUUUUAUCCACAAGCCCAAGAUCUCCAUACUGGACAAAUUCAAUGUCCCUGCCAUAUUCUGGGGGUUCUUGAAUCAGUAUUGUCUGCUAGUCAUUCUGUGACUGCUAUCAUACUCCAGGGACCAGUCCCGAGUAGGAAUUGUGAUUAGCCUGCUUACCAGAGAUUCCCUGGCAUAGGCUUCCCCACUAUUGGAGGUGUCUAGCCCUCUUCUCAAAUGCUUGAGGAGUUUGUUCAGGCAAUGGCAUGCAUUUUUUGAUUACCCUAAUGGAGAGCACACUGCAGAAGCUGGGCUCCAAGUCCUUUGGUAGGGAUCCCAACCCAUCACCAGAUCUGCAGCUGAGUUUCAAUGCCUGGCAGCUGAUACUUGCUGGAAUGAGAUGGCACAAAUACAUUACUUCUGGCAAAGACUCAAUGACGCUUUUAAGGACAAAUUAGCUCAGUUGGAAUCCCUGCCUAGGCUAGGGACCCUGAUUGAUCUGUGUAUUAGGAUAGAUCACCAACUAACAGAAUGAGAAACACAUCACUCAACCCUUGUGGAACCAGACUCCAUCUGUUGCAACUCCAGGCAAUCUAUUGGAGCAAGAUCUGAUGCAGGUCAACCAAAUGUGACCCCCAUGUAUCCACCAAUGAAAAGAGAUUAUGCCGGGCUCUAGGAGUCUGCCUGUACUUUGGGGCAUCUGGGGAUUUUUUCAAUGGGUUGCCUGGCCAAGGACCGAUGCUCCUCCAUGUCGGGAAAUGCCAGACAUGGACAAGGCUGGGUCAGUACUCCAUUCUUCUUCACAGUGAGCUGCUCUGCUGCUCCAAGAAUUUGUCAAGGGUCAUUGGAUUCCUAUCCUCUGAAAAAUCUCCCCUGAGCUCCUUUAGACCAUUCAUACAUCACCCCUCUCUUCGGGGUCCAUCACAUAUCACACCAGUGGAGGCCACCAGGAAAUCAUUCAGGGUGAUCUAUGCCUUGCAUUUGCAAAUCAUCCUUGACACCCACAACCCCCUAAUCAGCUGGCAAUCAAAGACAUUGCUCUUCUGCUCCCUGCAGUGCCAGUGAGACUGUCUCCCAAGCCCCCGUUCAUGGUUGACUGUGCUCUGUGGUAUGCUCCAACCUCCAGGGCUCCCAGAGAGGCAAGCAGUGGCCCAGUCACACAUAAAAUUCUUGUAAAAUACCUGGAGUUUACCAGGGUGUUCAAUAAACAGAAGGCAGAUGCAGGGAUGAACACCAUGAAGUUGAGGAGGAAAAUCUUACCACCAUUAUCAAAUCCUCUCACUUCAUUGGAGGGAUGGGAGAAGGCCAUCUGAUGACCACCAUCUGUUCUCUGGUGCCUCAAACAGGUGGCUGGAAAGCAGAGAGAAAUCUGGCAGUCCCCGGAAAACUUUAGUGCCUUCUUAGGGGCCAAGCUUCCAUCUACAGCAAGGCCUCCUCUUACAUUCCUGAAGAAGACCCCAGAAUCCAAGUAUUGAUGUUGUGCCAUGACUCCCCCAUGGCAGGACAUUUUGGCCAGUUCAAGACCAGGAAUCUGAUUUCCAAGUAUCUCUGAUGGCCAACCUUAUGAAAAGAUGUCAAGGACUAUGUUAGAAUGUGUCACCUCUGCAUCCACACUAAAGCACCAUGCACAAGAUCUGUAGGCCUUCUCUAACCCCUUCCUUGCCCUCACACCCUGAGUCUACCUUCUCAGUGGACUUCUUGGGAGCAGCUCUAUAAUGAAUGUUUGGUGGCCCUGAUAGUGGGGGGACCUCCUGAUGAAAAUGGCUCAUUUCAUUCCCUGUUGUACCCUUCAAUCAGCCUGUGAAAAUGCACAGUUCUUCUUGGAACACAUCUUCUGGUAUCACAGCAUGCCAGGUCACAUCAUUUCUGAUUGGGGCACCCAAUUUGUCUCCCAGUUUAGGCAGAAAUUUCUCUGCCUUUUUGGACCAAGUGCCUCCUCUCAAUUGCCUGCUACCCUCAGACUGAUGGCCAGACAGAAAGGGUCAACCAGACAAUGGAACGGUACCUCUGCUAUUUUUUGAGUGUUCACCAAAUUGACUGGGUUCUCAUUAUUUUUGACUGAAUUUACUUACAAUAAUGCAACUCAUGCCUUUACCCAGCAAAGUCCAUUUUUCAAGAACUUCAUUUUUCAUCGCUAGUUUCGCACUGAGCUAUCAGAAGGCCCUUCUGUUCUGGCAGCCACAAACUUGGUCCUUCAUCUCUGACAAAUUCGUCAGGAGCUCAGAGCAUUUGGCCACUACCAAAGAGUCGUAUAAGAGCUAUGCUGAUCGAGAUUGGCAAGUUGCCCUGGACUUAAACAUAGGAAAUAAGGUAUGGCUCUCCACCCAGAACUUGGAAUCAUCCUAUCCCUCUGCUAAGCUUGAUCACAAGUACCUGAGCCCCAUUUAGAUCACCCAGACGACAAAUCAAGUGACCUUAAAACUCCAGCUCCCAGAAUCCCUCAGUAUCCACACUGUCUUUCAGUCAGCCCUUCCCUGGGUGGAUGGCUCCACCACCUCCCCUACAAUGGCCCAGGAACAGUAUGAGGUCCAUCAAAUCCUCGACUCCUGACAGGUCAGGGAUAAGCUCCACUACCUAGUACACUGGAAGAGAUAUGGACCAGACGAGUGGUCCUAGGAUCCUGUAGAAAACAUCCAUGCCCCCACCCUGUUAUAGGAAUUUCACCAACAAUAUCCCAAGAAACCAGGAUUUAGGGCCCUACAAGGAGCCCUAGGGAAGGGGGUACUGUUGGGAGCACAGCUGUCUCUCAGCCUGGUCUCUAGGCAACCCAGCAAGCUCAGCUAGCCCCAGUGAGCCUUCGCCAAAUGGUUGUGCUCCCUGAUUGGGCUGGGGAAUCAGCAGCCUGUUGCUUGAGCCUUGCAGUAUCAGCAGCACAGCAGCUGCUCAGUGUGGUACCAUGCCUGCAGCUGUGCUUGCCCGGCUUUCACUUCUGCCUGCUGCUCCAGCCUUGACUCCUGCCAGCUUCAGGUUAGCCAUUGCCUCCCUGCCCUGAUUGUGACUCAUGUCCCACCUUUAGCUUGGCUUCUCAAUCAGGACUCUGGCUUCACCCUCAAACCAGUAUCUGAUUCCUGGAUCCACACUCACUAUUACUCUGAACUGCUGCCACAACCACCAGGGAAGGUCCUGCUCCACUCACUAGGUAGGCUGCCCUCACCCCACCAGCUUACAGUGGGCCACGGUAUACAGCCCUGAAAUGGGACUUAGAUUAACUGAGUUUUGUUCCCAUCUCUGCUUUUGACCUGCUGUGUAACCUUAGGCAAGUUACUUCUCAAAUCUGUGCCUUCGUUUCUUCUCUUAUGCCUUGACUGUCUUGUUUCUUUAGACUGUAAGAUCUUUGGAGUAGGACUAUCUUUUAAUGUGUGUCUGUAGAGUGUCUAGCACUGUGAGGCCCUCCAGUGAUGAUUGGGACAUCUAGAGGCAUUACUGUAAUGCAAAUAAAUAAUAUGAUUUUAAAACGGCACCUAAAUAGAAGUGGCUUGCUUUUCCCCCCUCUCCUCCCAAGAUGAUGAGCAACUGCUUUUUAUUUACUAUUUUAAACUACAAAACAUAACUGUUGAUAGUACAAACUAUUUGCUAGAGCAACAGUCUUGACAGAAAUAUAGAAGAGGAACUGCAAAGUAUCUAUAUCUAUAUAUAAUAUGUAUGUAUAAAUUAAAAUGUUAACUUUCUAAAGGUAUGUCUACACUGUAAUGAAAGCGCCCCGACUGUGGGACUUGAGCUCGCAGGCGUGGUCUUUUUAAGCUCAGACUUGAGCAUCAACGCUAAAUAUUGACCAAAGGUUUAGAAUUUCUGGAUCCAGGUCUCACAGUUGGGCUCACGCAUCCACAUUGUGCUAUACAGACUCGCCUAUGGCUAGGGCAGUCCCCUGCUAUAGCUGCUCUAGCCCUUUUGUCAUGGUGCACUGUGGUAAAACUUGACUAUCCAUCCUACAGCACUUUACAGGAAGUUGAUGCAGCCUGCCCACACAUCCUGCCAAGAUGUCUUUUAGGUCUGCACAUUCCAGACAACUGAGCCAGCAACAUGGAGGGGUUAUUAUUUUGAAGAAGUUGUCCUGCUUGCGCUUUCACUCCUGUUCCAUGAACCAGGCAGAGCAUCCAGGAGAUGCUGGUAGACAUUUUGGUGGCGUUUUCUGAUGCCCCCUUUGUAGACCAGCAUUUUUGGAGCAGGGCUACAAGCGCAAACUGGUGGGAUCACAUCAGCAUGUGGACCUGGGGUGUCUGAUAAUGGCUCUAGAAAUUUCACAUGGAAAAAAGCUCCAGAAAUGUAGCUUUCUGAGCACUUUGCCCUGAUCCUCUAGCACCACAGCACAAGUAUGACAGUGGCCAUGCCAGUCCAGAAGUGAGUGAUUACAAUCAUCUGAAAGCUAGCUACCCCAGAUUGCCACAGGUCCAUUGCUAACCACUUUGGUGGUGGAAAGUCAACUGUUGGUAAAGUCAUGGCUGAGGUUUCUGAGGCAGUAAAGCAUUGGAUUUUACCCAAAGGUGGUGGACAUAAAAAUAUCCCAGAAGUAAUUGCUGAGUAAUUUUAGAGAACGGGGGUUUCCAAACUGCAUCAGGACUAUUGAUGGGACUCAUGUGCCCAUAGUUUUUUCUUCCUCAAGAAACACAAACACAUAAACCGCAAACUACACUGUUAUGCAGGUCUGUGUGGACCACAGAGGCUGAUUUAUGGAUGCCAAUGUGGGCUGCACUGGAAAAGUUCAUGAGGCUAGGUUUUUCUGUUGAUCAGGAAUCUGUGUUUAUGGACAGGCCAGGACACUAUUCCCACCAAAUGCCAUUGUCAUAAAUGGAUUAACUGUCCCUGCUGUUGUUCUAGAGGAUCCAGCGUACCCCCUUCUUCUUUCCCUUAUGAAACCAUAUCCUAGUAAGAGGCCCUUCUAAAAGACUCUCGUUAAGUCUAAGAUGGUGGUUUAAAUGUACAUUGAGAUUGAAAUCCUGCUUGUGCUGUUCACAUGUUUGGAUUCCAGUGUCAUCAGUGUUGUCUGCAUUAUUGUGGCUUGCUGGGCUUUUUACAAUCUUUGAAUCCAAAAGUGAGCAUUUUCUGCUCCUAAAUGGACCUACCAUGACUGGAUUGUUGAGCCGGUACACUCAGCCAGAAAGUGCAUCUGUCACAGUGGGAGCAGGAUGCACACUGGCAACAGAAAUCAGGGAUGCUUUGUGCACUCACAUUAUAGACUUACAUGGACCAAUGGAAGAGGAAGAAUGGUAUAUUCAUGAAUGUUUUUGUACAGCAGUUUUUAAAGUAAAUGAAGUACUGACGCUGUAUGCUAUAAAGGGGGGUGUGUGUGAUUGUCAUGAAUUGUUAAUUGUGAAUGAGAUGAUUGCUUAUCCAAUGUGUAUGGGGGUAGGGGGUGAUUUGUGUGGCAUGAGCUGGGGAUUUUCAUUAUGGAUUGAUCUGAAAAGAUGUACUGUAUUGAGAAAUUGUUUGGAUACACAAUUCCCAGUUGUGCCUUAUCAUGUCUUUUUCUUUAUCCUUUGAAAUACUCAUUACAUGAUGUGAUGCAGUGUAGUAAUAAACUUUUAAAUAAAAUAAA